rnacentral:rRNA from 1 species
UACGAAGGGGGCUAGCGUUGCUCGGAAUCACUGGGCGUAAAGGGUGCGUAGGCGGGUCUUUUAAGUCAGGGGUGAAAUCCUGGAGCUCAACUCCAGAACUGCCUUUGAUACUGAGGAUCUUGAGUUCGGGAGAGGUGAGUGGAACUGCGAGUGUAGAGGUGAAAUUCGUAGAUAUUCGCAAGAACACCAGUGGCGAAGGCGGCUCACUGGCCCGAUACUGAC